UCCAGACUCCUACGGGAGGCAGCAGUGAGGAAUAUUGGUCAAUGGGCGAGAGCCUGAACCAGCCAAGUCGCGUGAGGGAAGACGGUCCUAUGGAUUGUAAACCUCUUUUGCCGGGGAGCAAAAAGCGGUACGUGUACCGCAUCGAGAGUACCCGGAGAAAAAGCAUCGGCUAACUCCGUGCCAGCAGCCGCGGUAAUACGGAGGAUGCGAGCGUUAUCCGGAUUUAUUGGGUUUAAAGGGUGCGUAGGCGGAAUGCCAAGUCAGCGGUAAAAUCGCGGGGCUCGCCCUCGCUCCGCCGUUGAAACUGGCGUUCUUGAGUGGGCGAGAAGUAUGCGGAAUGCGUGGUGUAGCGGUGAAAUGCAUAGAUAUCACGCAGAACCCCGAUUGCGAAGGCAGCAUACCGGCGCCCUACUGACGCUGAGGCACGAAAGUGCGGGUAUCGAACAGGAUUAGAUACCCCGGUA
rnacentral:rRNA from 1 species